GGAUGAAGGGGAGUGAGCUCUGGGAGGUAGGGGCCCCAUCCAAGAAGGCUGUGUGUGGUGGACUGAAUGUUUGCGUCCCCCCGACAUUCAUACAUUGAAGCUCUGUCCCCCAUUGUGAUGGGAUCCGUAGGUGGGGCUUUGGGGAGGUGAUUAGGUUUGAGAAUGGAGCCCUCAGAGAUGGCAUUAAGUGACGUUAGAGGAGUCCUGAGGUGCUUGCUUCUCUCUCUUACGUGAGGCUAUAAGGAGAAAACGGCCUCUGCAACCCUGAAGAGGGCCCUCAGGAACCGAGCACCCUGGCACCUGAUCUCUUUCAGCCUCCAGAACUUUGCUGCCUGUAGCAGUCUUUCAGUGCGUCUCUGCAGAUGAGAUAAGCCAAUAUAGACAGAAGGGCACCUCCUCUGGGAUACCCCCGAGGAAGACCCAAGGGGAAGGGGGAAAAGGCUAUAUUGAAUACCAUACUUGGUUCUCCUUUCUAUUUACUUGUCGUAAUAAGAGAGAAAUAGAAAAAAAGUUACUCAUUCCUGAGCUCGGAUUAAGGAAGUUUAUGAACACACAUCAUUUGGUGACACUGACAGUGAUGGACUUCAACUCCUGACCACGUCAAUCCUGGAUGUUCAUGGGAGGCUGAGCUGCCAAAAAGACGCAGAGGAAUACUGAAUCCUCUACCCAACAAACUCUGGGUGGCAUUUUCAUGAUGAGGUUAGAUGUGGAAAUUGAGCCACAGAGAAGUGAAAGCAAUCGUUAAUGCUUUAGAUGAAGGACAAGCCUGGAGCAUUGAUUAGAAUUCUUGAAUCUUAAGCUGUUCUGAACCCCAGGUCUGGUUUUCCCCUGAAUUAAGUCAUGGGACAUAAUUUUUUCUAAAAGAGAAAUCCUGUUCUUUAAAGCUUAACCCCACUCCCCAAAUGUACAUCCAAGUACCAUGUUCCAGAGGGAAAAUGUCUUCAAAAUCUUCCCCUCAAUUCUAAGGUUAUUGGAUUUAAGGCACAGUGGAAUAACUAGCUGUAGAGCUAAAAUGUGUGGUAUUUAAAGGUAACUUUGAAUUUUUGUUAGCUUACAUUCAAGUAAAAAGACUUGAAAAGAUCAUAAACCACUGUCCCAAGCCUCUAGCUUUAAUCAGGUCACUUAUUAGAGUGAACAAAUUUUAAAAUCAAAAAGUAUACUAUUCUGCUGAAAGAGACCUUUCUCAAGGCCCACACUUGUUCAUCAUUUUUUGUCACUGUUAAGGCCACCAUUGCCAAGUUCCCAGAAUGUUUUACAACUGAUCAUUUCAGAGGGUUCUCAAGUAGGUCAGAAGAAAAAAAAAAAAAGUCCUUUAAUGAUGAUCUUCGUGCCGUGCUUUGAUGACAGGAAGUAAAGAGGCCAAGCAAAGUAUAACCACUUCUGUACUAUAAGUCCAGAGUGUUUAGUGUUUGAGAAGCACAGCAUCCAUAAUUCAGACUAAAGUUGUUUAGUAUUGUAAUUAGCCAUAGAAAACUUACCUCGGCACUUUUUGCUGUCUAAAAAAAGUGCACUCAGCUUUUAACUCAUUCUGUUCUGAUGGCUCCAAUUUUGUCUGUACUAAAGUAAUUUCCACAUGUCUUCUUGAGUGUUGGCAUGUGAGCUGCAUAAAUUCCCUGGGGUCCAAGGUCCAAAGACACUGUGCCAUGGAAAGGGAGACGGUCCUAUUUCUAAAAGAAUAUUGGGACAGGUAGGUGACAGUGUUUUGUGUGUGACUUCUGGGAGAUGUGGCUUGGAUGUUGAAAUAUUGGUACUUCUGGGGACUUUUCUUUUUCUUUUUUUAUAACCUCAUCUGCAACAUAUGAAAGUUCCCAGUUAGAGGUCAAAUCGGAGCUACAGCGUCAGGCCUACACCACGGCAACACUGGAUCUGAGCUGCAUCUGGAACUUAUGCCGAAGGCCAGGGAUCAAAACUGCAUCCUCACAGAGACAAUGUUGUGUCCUUGCUGAGCCAUAAUGGGAGCUCCUCUUUUUCUUUUUAAAUUUUUUUAAAUUAAAAAAAAAUUGUUAUUGAAGUAUAAUUGAUUUACAGUGUUGUGUUAGUGUCAGGUGUAUAGCAAGGCGAUUCUGUUUUAUGUAUAUAUGUAUAUAUAUAUUUUUCAGAUUCUUUUCCAAUAUAGGUUAUUAUAAGAUAUUGAAUAUAGUUCCCUGUGCUAUAGGACCUUGCUUAUCUCUUUUAUAUAUAGUAGUAUAUAUAUAUAGUAGUAUCUAUUAACCUCAAAUUCUUAAUUUACACCCCCACCAUUUCCCCUUUGUUAACCAUAAGUUUGUUUUCUACGUCUGUGAGUCUCUUUCUGUUUUGUAAAUAAGUUCCUUUGUAUCACUUUUUAAGAUUCUAUGCAUAAGUGAUAUCAUAUGAUGUUAGCCUUUGUCUGACUUACUUCACUUAAUUCAUUCUUUUUAAGUGAGUGAUAUUUCAUGUAUCUUUAUCCAUCCAUCUGUUGAGGGGCAUUUAGGUUGCUUCCAUGACUUGACUAUUGUAAGUAGUGCUGCUGUGAGCUUUGAGGUGCAUGUAUCCUUUCAAAUUAGAGUUUUUGUCUUUUCUGGCCCAGGAGUGGCAUUUCUGAAUCAUAUGGUAACUCUAUUUUUAGUGUUUGAAGGAACCCUCUGGGGCAUUUAAAUGGUUUAUGGGAAUAGCAGGGAAGAAUCAUUUAUUCCAAAUAUUUCAUGUAAUCAAGUUGUGUUUAUCUAUUCAAACAUUUCAUUUUAAAAUAUUAAAAUAGUUCAAACA
rnacentral:lncRNA from 1 species